rnacentral:rRNA from 1 species
UAUCGACAGGCUUAACACAUGCAAGUCGAGGGGCAGCACAGGUAGCAAUACCGGGUGGCGACCGGCGCACGGGUGAGUAACGCGUAUGCAACUUGCCUAUCAGAGGGGGAUAACCCGGCGAAAGUCGGACUAAUACCGCAUGAAGCAGGGGCCCCGCAUGGGGAUAUUUGCUAAAGAUUCAUCGCUGAUAGAUAGGCAUGCGUUCCAUUAGGCAGUUGGCGGGGUAACGGCCCACCAAACCGACGAUGGAUAGGGGUUCUGAGAGGAAGGUCCCCCACAUUGGUACUGAGACACGGACCAAACUCCUACGGGAGGCAGCAGUGAGGAAUAUUGGUCAAUGGGCGUAAGCCUGAACCAGCCAAGUCGCGUGAGGGAUGAAGGUUCUAUGGAUCGUAAACCUCUUUUAUAAGGGAAUAAAGUGCGGGACGUGUCCCGUUUUGUAUGUACCUUAUGAAUAAGGAUCGGCUAACUCCGUGCCAGCAGCCGCGGUAAUACGGAGGAUCCGAGCGUUAUCCGGAUUUAUUGGGUUUAAAGGGUGCGUAGGCGGCCUUUUAAGUCAGCGGUGAAAGUCUGUGGCUCAACCAUAGAAUUGCCGUUGAAACUGGGAGGCUUGAGUAUGUUUGAGGCAGGCGGAAUGCGUGGUGUAGCGGUGAAAUGCUUAGAUAUCACGCAGAACCCCGAUUGCGAAGGCAGCCUGCCAAGCCAUUACUGACGCUGAUGCACGAAAGCGUGGGGAUCAAACAGGAUUAGAUACCCUGGUAGUCCACGCAGUAAACGAUGAUCACUAGCUGUUUGCGAUACACUGUAAGCGGCACAGCGAAAGCGUUAAGUGAUCCACCUGGGGAGUACGCCGGCAACGGUGAAACUCAAAGGAAUUGACGGGGGCCCGCACAAGCGGAGGAACAUGUGGUUUAAUUCGAUGAUACGCGAGGAACCUUACCCGGGUUUGAACGCAUUUUGACAGCUCUGGAAACAGAGCCUCUAGCAAUAGCGAUUUGCGAGGUGCUGCAUGGUUGUCGUCAGCUCGUGCCGUGAGGUGUCGGCUUAAGUGCCAUAACGAGCGCAACCCUUGCCACUAGUUACUAACAGGUAAAGCUGAGGACUCUGGUGGGACUGCCAGCGUAAGCUGCGAGGAAGGCGGGGAUGACGUCAAAUCAGCACGGCCCUUACAUCCGGGGCGACACACGUGUUACAAUGGCGUGGACAAAGGGAGGCCACCUGGCGACAGGGAGCGAAUCCCCAAACCACGUCUCAGUUCGGAUCGGAGUCUGCAACCCGACUCCGUGAAGCUGGAUUCGCUAGUAAUCGCGCAUCAGCCAUGGCGCGGUGAAUACGUUCCCGGGCCUUGUACACACCGCCCGUCAAGCCAUGGGAGCCGGGGGUACCUGAAGUCCGUAACCGAAAGGAUCGGCCUAGGGUAAAACUGGUGACUG